CGUAGGCGGUCUUAUAAGUCAGAUGUGAAAGCCCGGGGCUCAACCCCGGAAGUGCAUUUGAAACUGGUAGGCUUGAGUAUGGGAGAGGAAAGUGGAAUUCCNUGGUGUAGAGGUGAAAUUCGUAGAUAUCAGGAGGAACACCGGUGGCGAAGGCGACUUUCUGGACCAAUACUGACGCUCAGACUCGAAGGCGUGGGUAGCAAACAGGAUUAGAUACCCUGGUAGUCCACGCAGUAAACGUUGACAACUANGGUGUCGCGGGNUAUUGACCCCUGCGGUGCCGGAGCUAACGCAUUAAGUUGUCCGCCUGGGGAGUACGAUCGCAAGAUUAAAACUCAAAGGGAUUGACGGGGGCCCGCACAAGCGGUGGAGCAUGUGGUUUAAUUCGACGCAACGCGAAGAACCUUACCUGGAUUUGACAUCCUGGNNGAAUCAUUAUGAAAGUUUUGAGUGCCNNCUUCGGGNNNGAGCCCAGUGACAGGUGCUGCAUGGCUGUCGUCAGCUCGUGUCGUGAGAUGUUCGGUUAAGUCCGGCAACGAGCGCAACCCCUAUCUUCAGUUGCCAUCANNNUUUAGUNNUGGGAACUCUGAAGAUACUGCCCCGGUUAACGGGGNAGGAAGGUGGGGAUGACGUCAAGUCCUCAUGGCCCUUAUGUCCAGGGCUACACACGUGCUACAAUGGUAUGUACAGAGGGUAGCGAACUCGCGAGAGCAAGCCAAUCCCCUAAAGCAUAUCUCAGUUCGGAUUGGAGUCUGCAACUCGACUCUAUGAAGUUGGAAUCGCUAGUAAUCGCGGAUCAGCAUNGCCGCGGUGAAUACGUUCCCGGGCCUUGUACACACCGCCCGUCACACCAUGAGAGUUGGUUGUACCAGAAGUUGUG
rnacentral:rRNA from 1 species